CGCCAGACUCCUACGGGAGGCAGCAGUGGGGGAUAUUGCACAAUGGGGGGAACCCUGAUGCAGCGACGCCGCGUGAGUGAAGAAGUAUUUCGGUAUGUAAAGCUCUGUCAGCAGGGAAGAAGAAAGACGGUACCUGACCAAGAAGCCCCGACUAACUACGUGCCAGCAGCCGCGGUAAUACGUAGGGGGCAAGCGUUAUCCGGAUUCACUGGGUGUAAAGGGAGCGUAGACGGCCAUGCAAGCCAGGGGUGAAAGCCCGGGGCCCAACCCCGGGACUGCCCUUGGAACUGUGCGGCUAGAGUGCGGGAGGGGCAGGCGGAAUUCCUGGUGUAGCGGUGAAAUGCGUAGAUAUCAGGAGGAACACCGGCGGCGAGGGCGGCCUGCUGGACCGCGACUGACGUUGAGGCUCGAAAGCGUGGGGAGCGAACAGGAUUAGAUACCCGCGUA
rnacentral:rRNA from 1 species